rnacentral:rRNA from 1 species
CCUACGGAGGCAGCAGUAAGGAAUAUUGGACAAUGGUCGCAAGACUGAUCCAGCCAUGCCGCGUGCAGGAUGACUGCCCUAUGGGUUGUAAACUGCUUUUGUACGGGAAUAAACCCCUCUACGUGUAGAGGGCUGAAUGUACCGUAAGAAUAAGGGUCGGCUAACUUCGUGCCAGCAGCCGCGGUAAGACGAAGGACCCAAGCGUUAUCCGGAUUCAUUGGGUUUAAAGGGUGCGUAGGCGGAUUGAUAAGUCAGUGGUGAAAGCCUGUUGCUUAACAACAGAACUGCCAUUGAUACUGUUGAUCUUGAAUAUGUUUGAUGUGGGCGGAAUAUGACAUGUAGCGGUGAAAUGCUUAGAUAUGUCAUAGAACACCGAUUGCGAAGGCAGCUCACAAAGCCAUUAUUGACGCUGAGGCACGAAAGCGUGGGGAUCAAACAGGAUUAGAUACCCUGGUAGUCCACGCUGUAAACUUUGAUCACUCGCUGUUGGCGAUACACAGUCAGCGGCUAAGCGAAAGCGUUAAAGUGAUCCCACCGUCGGGAGGUACGAGUCGCGAAGAGUUAGUAAACGUACGAAAGGAAAGUUAGACGGCGUUGGAGGACGNGCCGACGGACGACGACGAGGGAGGAGGG